AUUUAUUUAGUAUAAAUAGUACAUUUGACUUCCAAUCAAAAAGCUUGGUUUAAAUCAAAAUAAAUA
rnacentral:tRNA from 1 species